rnacentral:ncRNA from 2 species
UAAUUAUCAAGAGAGCGGAGAGGGAAUUGGCCCGUUGACCCGCCAGCAACCGCUCAAGCAUGACAGCUUGAGAAAGGUGCUAAGUCCAACCCGUUAGGGGAAGAUAAAGG